rnacentral:lncRNA from 1 species
UGAGGAUGUAAGCAUCUUCCACACUGAGGAGAGAAUGGCCGUUCCACUCAUGAGGGGGAUGAAAAUGGAAAAGAUGUAAGCAUUAUGAAGUUAAAAGGGCAAAUGACCUCCUAGAAUAAAGAAAACAUGUCCCUUGCAGCUGACCAUGGACAUAUAAGUAAAUUCCAGUCAGAAGAGUAGAGUGAAGAUGUUAUAUAGUUGAUCUGGGGGACUUUCCCUUGGUGACUCAGUUCUGUGGUGUGGCUUUCAGAUCCAUUCUCAAAACUACAAUUUAUUAGUCAACUUUUGCUCAAAAUUUUAUUUGUUUAUGACAUGGCUUUCUUUCUCCUGGGCUUGUGAGUUGGCUGUGGCAGCUCUAUUUCAGGCUGCAGAUCAGGAUCAAUUAUGCUUCAUAGACCUAUCAUUCUGAGAUGCAGGCUGAAGUAGCAGCAACUUCCUAGGGCAUGCUCUUCUCACGAUGGAUGGCAGGAGCACAAGAGAGUGAGUGGAAAUGCAGGAUUCUUAAAGCAUCUACUCAGAAUGGGUGUAGUGUCACAUUCACUUGGUCAAAUACUCUUUGAGCGUCUGACAUAUACUCUGUUCUAUUGGGAGACACCUCAAUGUCACAUGACAGAGACCUUGGAUGUACAACCCAGUAACAUAGAGGGAGCAAAGAGGUGGCAAUAGUAAUCCAAUCUACCACACUCAGUUUAUGUUCUGUUUCUAAAAAUUCCCAAGGAUAUUAUAAGCCACUGAAUUUCCUAUAAAAAAUUCCUAUCUCACUUUAUCUUGAAUGGCUUCUGUUCUCUGCAGAUAAAUUCUGACUGAAAUUUUCCAGAACAUUUUAUUUUUUAACUCAUCUACAAUUUUUCUGGUGCAAGAUCAGAAAGAAGAGUGUUCAUCUGCCAUUUCUACCACUAAACAUGUUCUUCACCUCUACUCUGUGAAGCAACAUGCUCUUCCACUAUGGGCUUUGAGUGGGAUAGCCAUCCUACCAUGGGCAGAACAUGUGAUAUCAUCUUAAUCAAACAAGAAUGGAUAGGUAUUGAAAUACAGUGGAGUUGGGGUAAUCGUAUGGAUCCCAUAGAGAUUAGAAACUAUGAAUGCGGGGCCGGCCCGUGGCCGAGUGGUUAAGUUUGUGCACUCUGCUUCAGUGCCCCAGGGUUCGGAUCCU